rnacentral:rRNA from 1 species
CGAGAGUGAGUUUACCCGUGAAAUAAGCACCGGCUAANUACGUGCCAGCAGCGCGGGUAAUACGUAGGGUGCAGCGUAUCCCGNNANUAUNNNGGCGUAAAGGGCUCGUAGGCGGUUCGUCGCGUCCGGUGUGAAAGUCCAUCGCUNANCGGUGGAUCCGCGCCGGGUACGGGCGGGCUUGAGUGCGGUAGGGGAGACUGGAAUUCCCGGUGUAACGGUGGAAUGUGUAGAUAUCGGGAAGACCACCAAUGGCGAAGGCAGGUCUCUGGGCCGUUACUGACGCUGAGGAGCGAAAGCGUGGGGAGCGAACAGGAUUAGAUACCCUGGUAGUCCACGCCGUAAACGGUGGAUGCUGGAUGUGGGGCCCGUUCCACGGGUUCCGUGUCGGAGCUAACGCGUUAAGCAUCCCGCCUGGGGAGUACGGCCGCAAGGCUAAAACUCAAAGAAAUUGACGGGGGCCCGCACAAGCGGCGGAGCAUGCGGAUUAAUUCGAUGCAACGCGAAGAACCUUACCUGGGUUUGACAUGUUCCCGACGGUCGUAGAGAUACGGCUUCCCUUCGGGGCGGGUUCACAGGUGGUGCAUGGUCGUCGUCAGCUCGUGUCGUGAGAUGUUGGGUUAAGUCCCGCAACGAGCGCAACCCUCGCCCCGUGUUGCCAGCGGAUUAUGCCGGGAACUCACGGGGGACCGCCGGGGUUAACUCGGAGGAAGGUGGGGAUGACGUCAGAUCAUCAUGCCCCUUACGUCCAGGGCUUCACGCAUGCUACAAUGGCCGGUACAACGGGAUGCGACGCGGCGACGCGGAGCGGAUCCCUGAAAACCGGUCUCAGUUCGGAUCGCAGUCUGCAACUCGACUGCGUGAAGGCGGAGUCGCUAGUAAUCGCGAAUCAGCAACGUCGCGGUGAAUGCGUUCCCGGGCCUUGUACACACCGCCCGUCAAGUCAUGAAAGUGGGCAGCACCCGAAGCCGGUGGCCUAACCCCUUGUGGGAUGGAGCCGUCUAAGGUGAGGCUCGUGAUGGGACUAAGUCGU